rnacentral:rRNA from 1 species
GAUGAACGCUGACAGAAUGCUUAACACAUGCAAGUCAUUGGCGAAGCUGCGCUUGCGCAGUCUAGCCAAGGCGGACGGGUGAGUAACGCGUAAGGAACUUGCCCUGCAGACAGGGAUAACAGACGGAAACGACUGAUAACACCUGGUAUUGUCAGGCUGGCGCAUGCCGGCCUGAUGAAAGGAGACGCUGCAGGAGAGCCUUGCGUCCUAUUAGCUAGUUGGUGGGGUAACGGCCCACCAAGGCGAUGAUAGGUAGCCGGCCUGAGAGGGUGAACGGCCACAAGGGGACUGAGAUACGGCCCUUACUCCUACGGGAGGCAGCAGUGGGGAAUAUUGGACAAUGGGGGCAACCCUGAUCCAGCAAUUCUGUGUGCACGAAGAAGGUUUUCGGAUUGUAAAGUGCUUUCAGCAGGGAAGAAGAAAGGGACGGUACCGGCAGAAGAAGCGACGGCGAAAUACGU